GCCACAUGUGUGCCCAAGGACAGGGCUAUUAAGAAUUUCUUUAUUCAAAACACAGUAGAGGCUGCAGCAAGUGUCUUCAAUGCAUAUGUGCUUCCCGAGCUGUAUGUGAAGCUACAUUAUUGUGUGAGUUGUGCCAUUCACAGCAGGAAGCCUGCAAGAACUGAACAUCUCCACUUCUAUUUAGACCUGCAGAUGCUGGCACCAAAGCUCAUGUAA
rnacentral:lncRNA from 1 species